rnacentral:lncRNA from 1 species
AGGACCAGAAAGAAAGAGAAGAGAUUAAAAAAAAAAAACAGAAAGGAAAUAUUGAAAGCUUGCUAUGUGCCAGACACUGUGCUUUUUUUUUUUUUUUUUGCUUUGGGGAAUGGAAAAAUCCAAUCUUCCCUUUCUGCAGGAGCGCCCCUUCUAAAGAAGACACACAGCACAUAAGGAAGGUUUCAGCUGCAAGUCAGAUGGAGAAGUUCCCUACUCCUUCAGGGGCAAUGACAAAACAGAUGGUGAUUGUUCUUUAAUUUUGCUUCCAGAAUGAAUUGAAAAUUGAGGCAGAGAAGUUGAGAAGGUAAUGAAUUUGGGUGGGAAUCCUGGCUUUGCCAAGGAAUCCUUCAGAAACUUUGAACAGGUUAGUUAAUGUCUCUUAGCUGCCUAAUUUUCCUCCUCGGUAAACUAAAUCGCACUGGGCUUGAUCGAUAAGGUUCCCCUCCCGCUCUAAUCUAGGAAUUCAGUGGGGGAAUUGGGUGGGAGAGCUCGCAUCUGCACCCCUGAGAGGAGGGAACAUUUGAUGAGGUCACGUGUUGCCGUAGUUUGGACUUUGCCCCCUUCCUUACGUGGUCCCAUGAUCAGCCGGGCCCCCCUCCUGUUCUCCAUCGCUCUGAAUGGACACUAACGGUGCCAUCUCAAGAUCAGACGCCUACCUCAGCUUUGCUUCCCUCCCCUCUCCCCCCUCCCCCCAAGUGCUCACGGGCAGGCCAUUUAAGCCGCUGAACUUGAGUUUUCAGUUCCUGAAAGGAAAAGAGGGAGCUGCGAGCUUGCGGCCAGUUCUCAAAUCUCGGUCUCCGACCCCUCUAGAGGAGUCUUGCAUUAGGACAAAGAAAAUCAUCAAAGCCAAAGCAGCUGACAGAAAGCAUCUGCAACAAUCCAUAACCAUGGACAACACUUCUCCAGCAAAAGGAAGGGGAUGCAGCUCCUCACCCUUGCUUCAGAACUGAACAGAAGAACAAAAACAUUCCCAUUCAAGACCUCGGUGACCCUGGAUCUGUCAUUUCAAUUUUCUGGAUCUGUUUCCUCACCUUUAAAAUGAGGAUAAUGAUGCCCCUGGUGCCCACUUCACAGGGUUCUUGUGAGUAGGAAAUAAUGUAUGUAAUGAGCUUUACAAACCUUAGGAAAAAAAUUCUUUAUAAAUGUCAACUUCUCCCUUGCCUGUAAUGUAGACUCCUCGAGGGCAGUGUGUGUGUGUGUGUGUGUGUGUGUGUGUGUGUGUGUGUGUGUGUGUGUGUGUGCAUAUUCCUAGCUCUCAGCAUAGGAGGUGGGUACAAUAUUUUUU